rnacentral:rRNA from 1 species
CACGUAGGGCGCAAGCGUUGUCCGGAAUUAUUGGGCGUAAAGAGCUCGUAGGCGGACUGUCACGUCUGCUGUGAAAAGCUGGGGCUUAACCCUGGCCUUGCAGUGGAUACGGGCAGACUAGAGGUAGGUAGGGGAGAAUGGAAUUCCCGGUGUAGCGGUGAAAUGCGCAGAUAUCGGGAGGAACACCGGUGGCGAAAGCGGCUCACUGGACCGCAACUGACGCUGAGGCGCGAAAGCUAGGGGAGCAAACAGG